ACGCGCCUUAAGGCGUCAGGAGCGAACGCCUGAGAAAUUUUUUUUUUUUUUUUUACAGACCAAAACGACGUCGUUUUGGUGAUUUUGAGAGUUUUGAUUCAUUUAGGUCGUGUUUUGUACACGACCCAAUCCCCAAAUCACUCAAACAGCCUCCUCAGUCCUCCCCGACUCUUCACUCUCAAUCCCAAUCCCUUACUUGAAAAGUGGAUAAAAUCAUGAAGAGCCCAUAAGUUUUCUGAAGAAUUUGGUUCUAAAGGAGGCUAUUUGCAUAAUUGGAGCAAGAUUUGAAGAGAGUUGGAGGGUUGUAGUUCAAUUUGAAGAAAAGGAGUUCUAAGAGUGGAUGCGUGCAAUGUAUCGAAAUCCUCUCUGACAGGUCAAGUCUGUGCUUGAUAUGAGGCAUCCAAAACAUUACAAGUUGUAUAUCUUGUUAAACCAAGGAGAUAAGAAAUGUUGCCAUGAAUUGUAUUGAGGUUUACAGACCUUUACAUCUCAUGUUUGACACUUCGAGCAAGAAAAAUGGAAACCGUGCAAUUCGGAUUAAUCAUCUUGAUAAGCUGCUGGACUUGGUGGUCCAGCAGAAAAGGCUAAUCCUAUCGGACAGGAACUUGCUUCCUUCUCUCUUGGACUCUUUGCUCAGCCCGUCCUUCCAGAGCUUCUGAGGACCAAAGAAUAUUGAGAUAAGGUGAACCACUGUCCUCAUUGAAGCCUUCAUUUGAAUUUUAUUACUGUCAGCACUCAGCAAUUCGUGGUAUGCAUGUGUUAUCUAGUAAUUAAAAUUAGGAGAAUCCACUGGGAAAUAAGUUAAUA